CCUACGGGAGGCAGCAGUGGGGAAUAUUGGACAAUGGGCGAAAGCCUGAUCCAGCAAUGCCGCGUGAGUGAUGAAGGCCUUAGGGUCGUAAAGCUCUUUUACCAGGGAUGAUAAUGACAGUACCUGGAGAAUAAGCUCCGGCUAACUCCGUGCCAGCAGCCGCGGUAAUACGGAGGGAGCUAGCGUUGUUCGGAAUUACUGGGCGUAAAGCGUGCGUAGGCGGUUAUUCAAGUCAGAGGUGAAAGCCCGGGGCUCAACCCCGGAACGGCCUUUGAAACUAGAUAACUAGAAUCUUGGAGAGGUCAGUGGAAUUCCGAGUGUAGAGGUGAAAUUCGUAGAUAUUCGGAAGAACACCAGUGGCGAAGGCGACUGACUGGACAAGUAUUGACGCUGAGGUACGAAAGCGUGGGGAGCAAACAGGAUUAGAUACCCUGGUAGUCCACGCCGUAAACGAUGAUAACUAGCUGUCCGGACACUUGGUGUUUGGGUGGCGCAGCUAACGCAUUAAGUUAUCCGCCUGGGGAGUACGGUCGCAAGAUUAAAACUUAAAGGAAAUUGACGG
rnacentral:rRNA from 1 species